AGUAUAGACAAAUCCAGUUGAUAAGGUAAUUAUGAAACUCUUCUAUCUUAUGACAGUCCCAAAGAAACAAGUAAUCUAUUAACCAAUGAAAUAUACUUCAACCAUAUUUAGCAAACUCGGGCUGUAGUAAUUGUAUUUUACAAAAUAUUAUAAGCAACGAACCUGUGAAGCCCCUUUUUUUUUUCUUUUUCUCUGAUUUUUCCUAAGCCUAAGUGCACCAGCUCACCUCACACUCAACAAAGCACUCCUCACUACCCCACCAGUUUUCUCUCAAGUUCUCCUCCUCAUAACCCCUCUACUACCUCCAUAAUUCUGAUCCUUCUUCUUUUGCAAUCAGAUUGUGGAAAGGAAACACCUGCAGAGCUUCCAGUUGAUUCCACUUCCAACUUCCUUCUUCAAAGUUGAAUUGAGGUUUUGUGCCCUCACUGUUGAGGUGGUAUCUUGCCAAGUUUAAAAUAAGAAAAAGCAGAGCAUAAACUCCAAAUGGUAGCAGCAUGAGAUUUGAUGAGUGCAAGAAAGAGAAGCAUUAGAGUAGAAUUGUGAAGUAAGAAAAGAAAAGAAAAGAAAAGAAAAGGGUGUUCAUCUUCCAUCAAGAACCCCACUGAAGACUUGGCUGUCUCCACCUAAUGAUGCUUCCCAUUCAGUGGAUGACAUAACAAUCUGAGACAAUGCCACAACUAUAUCCCUCAUCACAGGCCUGUCGUUUGGAUCUUCGCACAAACACCAAUGACCUACUUCUGCCAUCUACAAAGGGAAAUGUUCCAAAUAACAAAAUUAUGAGGUCAGAAUAACAUCAGAAUAAGGAAAGCAACAAUGUUAGGCUAUCCCUACAAUAUCCCUAAAGAUACACAAUAACUAUGUUAAGGGAGUGAUUAUUAGCUUUCUUCAAACACAAAAAUUUUACAUAAUGAUCGAGUAUUAAGUCAAGAUUUCUCUGAAUAAAAGUGAACUAAUGAUUUUUUGAAAUUGAUUUCAUAUUGUUGGGUUGUUGGUUGUCACGAAAGA